UACCUUGAACAUGGACAUAUGGGCAACAUUGGCCAAUGAAUUGGGCGUUGUGGCCUUUGCAACGCUACUGAGGCCAAACGGCUUGCUGAUCCAUGUUUACAACAUGGUGUUGCAGGCCGAGGCAAAUCGGCCCGUAUUUGCUAGUUUUCUUUGUUACUUUCGCAUCGUUCGGUGCAUUCUGGGGACUGUCUUGGCUUUUGGUUGCUUGCUUGGCUUUUCGCUGGGUGGGUCGCUUCUAGUCGGGUGGUUGGUGUUUGGUUUGUUACGGGUGGUUGGCUGUCUGCUUGCGCAGCAACGUCCACGCGUGCAUACCUCUUUAGUUUUGCAUCAAGGCUUCGAUUGCCUUGAGCGUCUUGUGGGUUUCCUGUGUUGCAUACCUAAUCGAUGGUAACGGGUUGCUUUAUGAUGUGCCUUUUCAUCAUGCAUCGCUCAUGCGGUGUGGGAUGAACCUUGAAGCGAUCUUUGUAGUCCAUCUUGUCGUUCCAUUUUCAACGAUGAUGUGGCGUAUGAAGUAUUGCUUGGUCUCUUGUAUACGGAACCUGAUGUGGGCAUGGGUCUUACAAGACCUUGAAUCUGCCCUCGUUAAGCGUUUUCGCUUCUCCAAAACGAUUGUCUGCCAUGUCUUGGCUUGUCCUUGCAUGGUAGGCUACGUCGA
rnacentral:misc_RNA from 1 species